GGUCUUUUAAGCCCUCAUCAGGGAAUGGAGCUGCCUCAAAUACCUCCAUCGGCGGACAGUAGUGUUAGUGUAGCAGCGGCUGCUAUCACAGCAGACCCUGACUUCACUGCAGCUCUAGUUGCAGCGAUCAGUUCCAUCAUUGGCAAUGUUCAAGCAAGUAGUAGUGCUAAUAACGGCUCCACUAUAAGGAACAGUAUUGACAACAGCACAUGAAAUGAG
rnacentral:misc_RNA from 1 species